AUCAGCUAGGUAGCUAGCAGUGCUGUGAAGCGGGGCUGCCUUUCACACGACUAACUUCCCUCUCGACGCGUCUCCGCAUCGGGGAAAGGCUUCCAACGUCAUGUUGCUCAUGUUGGCAGAUAUAUUAGUGGCGUCCCUCAUCAGGAGCCUCAUCUGAGCUAUUCUUAGCCUGAGAUGCCUACUGGGAAACGGGAUGGCCUAGAAGUGCCUUGCGGGUGAAUAGGAAUGAAUGCAGCUGCCCGCUAUACGGAUUACUACCUCACUUCACACGCACGCACACACACAACUGCAUACACAUAAUAGACGACUGUACAGUAUAUGUUAUUUACACGUGUGGAAGAUUUUUGCUGACACAUGCACACUCAUGGAAACCUCCAUCAGGCACAUUCAAUGACAUCCAACGCAAGAGCUGCAUCAAAAACAGGUGUACUAUUUUGGUUUUGCAAGUUUCUAAUGUCUGGACCCCAAUGAAGGUAAAUAUGGCAACCAAAAUAUGAUAUACACAAAUGCAAAACACCAUACUGUUAUGUGAAUAUCUUUGACAGUAUUACGACAUUUCCACAUACGACAGGGCUAUCCAGCUGCAAAACUGAAUCCAGCCCAGUUUGCCAGCUCAGUUCAAAAGUUGAGAGCAGCAUUUUUGCAGCCCUCCUGUCAUAUACAGUAGAGCCUGGGUUCCCAACGUGGGGUACACCAGGGCACGUGACUAAAAAUGAAAAACCAUUGGUGUCUACCACUCACAAUUACGGGUGUGCCUGAACGGAGCAAAAAGGAGACGCAACACAAAGUUGGUAAUUGCUCUGUGUGCAUCAUAUGAGCAAAUAAGUGAUCUUGAUGAUUAUUUUGUACAUUAAGAGUGCUUAAUCUUGAAGAUGUAAUUUAUAUUGGUGUUCCAAUCCCUGCGUGGCGCAGCGGUGAAAACCUGUCACUGUGAGUGGGGAUUCCUGCUAAAAUGAGGCUUUAUCAUUGGUUGUAUGUAUUUUUGUACUUCAGAUACUGCUUUAUCGUGAUUAUUAAACUUUCCCCUUCAAUUUGGUAUUUAAUUAAUAUGCAGACUUACACCAUAGCCAUCGCCAGUGCACAAAAAAAGCGAUGCUCAAAUUCAACCCAUUCAAAGGGAAGGACUAGUGGAUCUUUGACUAGUGUUUUUGCAAUAAGUCCUCAAAAACAGUAGCACUUCCCUGACAUAUAUAGACAGUCUUUCACUAUGUUUGCAGUAGAGCCUUAAAAACAUUGAGGAUC